rnacentral:lncRNA from 1 species
UAUGGAAUGUCCACUCGAAGAUCUGAUGCUAAUCGAUCUUCUUGGGAGUGCUAGCUCAUGUGUAGACCUUCUUUAAUGGCUGAUCUACGCCCUUCUGUGGAUCUCAUGGACUCUUCUGGAUGAAAAAAAGAAUGCUAAGGAGGAGGAUGAGUUGGGACAGUGUGGAGAGGAGACACUCUAUUCUCACUUUUUCUCUUCCCGAUACCUUAGACUAGAACCCUAGGGUUUACACUCAAGCUCAAGAGGAAGCAGC